rnacentral:rRNA from 1 species
CCUACGGGGGGCUGCAGUGGGGAAUAUUGCACAAUGGGCGCAAGCCUGAUGCAGCCAUGCCGCGUGUGUGAAGAAGGCCUUCGGGUUGUAAAGCACUUUCAGCGGGGAGGAAGGCGUUAAGGUUAAUAACCUUGUCGAUUGACGUUACCCGCAGAAGAAGCACCGGCUAACUCCGUGCCAGCAGCCGCGGUAAUACGGAGGGUGCAAGCGUUAAUCGGAAUUACUGGGCGUAAAGCGCACGCAGGCGGUCUGUCAAGUCGGAUGUGAAAUCCCCGGGCUCAACCUGGGAACUGCAUUCGAAACUGGCAGGCUAGUGUCUUGUAGAGGGGUGUAGAAUUCCAGGUGUAGCGGUGAAAUGCGUAGAGAUCUGGAGGAAUACCGGUGGCGAAGGCGGCCCCCUGGACAAAGACUGACGCUCAGGUGCGAAAGCGUGGGGAGCAAACAGGAUUAGAUACCCGGGUAGUC